AUUGAACGCUGGCGGCAGGCCUAACACAUGAAAGUCGAGCGGAGCGGCGGACGGGUGAGGAAUACCUAGGAAUCUGCCUGGUAGUGGGGGAUAACGUGCGGAAACGGACGCUAAUACCGCAUACUAGCAGAUGAGCCUAGGUCUGCUUAGCUAGUUGGGGAGGUAAUGGCUCACCAAGGCAACGAUCCGUAACUGGUCUGAGAGGAUGAUCAGUCACACUGGAACUGGGACACGGUCCAGACUCCUACGGGAGGCAGCAGUGGGGAAUAUUGGACAAUGGGCGAAAGCCUGAUCCAGCCAUGCCGCGUGUGUGAAGAAGGUCUUCGGAUUGUAAAGCACUUUAAGUUGGGAGGCGUUACCGACAGAAUAAGCACCGGCUAACUCUGUGCCAGCAGCCGCGGUAAUAC
rnacentral:rRNA from 1 species